rnacentral:rRNA from 1 species
ACUCCUACGGGAGGCAGCAGUGGGGAAUAUUGCACAAUGGGCGCAAGCCUGAUGCAGCAACGCCGCGUGAGUGAUGAAGGCCUUCGGGUCGUAAAGCUCUGUCCUCAAGGAAGAAUAAAUGACGGUACUUGAGGAGGAAGCCCGGCUAACUACGUGCCAGCAGCCGCGGUAAUACGUAGGGGGCAAGCGUUAUCCGGAAUCACUGGGGCGUAAAGGGUGCGUAGGCGGUUUUCAAGUCAGAAGUGAAAGGCUAUGGCUCAACCAUAGUAAGCUUUUGAAACUGUUAAACUUGAGUGCAGGAGAGGAAAGUGGAAUUCCUAGUGUAGAGGUGAAAUUCGUAGAUAUUAGGAGGAACACCAGUGGCGAAGGCGACUUUCUGGACUGUAACUGACGCUGAGGCACGAAAGCGUGGGGAGCGAACAGGAUUAGAUACCCUGGUAGCACAGAG